AUUGAACGCUGGCGGCAUGCUUUACACAUGCAAGUCGAACGGUAACAGGUCUUCGGAUGCUGACGAGUGGCGAACGGGUGAGGAAUGCAUCGGAACGUGCCCAGUCGUGGGGGAUAACGCAGCGAAAGCUGUGCUAAUACCGCAUACGAUCUAUGGAUGAAAGCGGGGGACCGUAAGGCCUCGCGCGAUUGGAGCGGCCGAUGUCAGAUUAGGUAGUUGGUGGGGUAAAGGCUCACCAAGCCAACGAUCUGUAGCUGGUCUGAGAGGACGACCAGCCACACUGGGACUGAGACACGGCCCAGACUCCUACGGGAGGCAGCAGUGGGGAAUUUUGGACGAUGGGCGCAAGCCUGAUCCAGCCAUGCCGCGUGCAGGAUGAAGGCCUUCGGGUUGUAAACUGCUUUUGUACGGAACGAAAAGACUCUGGUUAAUACCUGGGGUCCAUGACGGUACCGUAAGAAUAAGCACCGGCUAACUACGUGCCAGCAGCCGCCGUAACAC
rnacentral:rRNA from 1 species